UUAUAGCAAUAAACUACACGGCAGAAGCUGCACCACGGCUUUUUGCAAGUAUAGCUGAUGGUUUUUGACACCAGCCUUAAAAUGUGUUUUCUUUCUUUCAUUUGCUGAAACAUUUAAAAUCCUGAAGUACUAGAGCAAAGGAAACAGCAACUUAUUUUCUAGCAAAGCCACACCAUUAACAAGAAUGCCGAGUGAACCGCAGUCCUGAGACUGUGGGAGUAUCUGAGUCCUGAAAUCGAGUGCACGCGCAUUUCUUGUGUCCAUACCUGAUUGCAUGUAAGUUGUUCUCUGUUUUACAAGAACACAUGACCGCUCAAUGAAUGGGAAUAGAAAAAAGGCCAUGAAAGGUGGAAGGGUCAGGAAUCGGAGGACACUGCAGUUUCUUAUUCGCUGAUUCACUGCUUAGAGGGAGAUCUGUGUCUUCUUUGAGGUGUAGAAACCACAGUCUACAGGCUUCAUAGAUUUCUGUCCACAGUUUUUGAGAUAGUGAAGUCAUGACGUCCAUACUCAAAGCCCAUAAAAAGGGAAUUAAUGAAACGGUUAGACUAUUUUAAUCAAAUCCCUAACAGGUUACCGUUGAACCCCCUGUGUGAAAGUUUGAUUUCAAAUGUUAAAAGUGGCUACAGAAAAUCUCAGGUUUCAUUAGAAGAGCAGUUUCAGUCAGAAAAUGCAGCAUAUAUUGAUACAAAAUAGAAACUGGAAUUAUAAAUGUAAAGAGUCCACCUUCCUUUUCUUGGCAUUUUUAAAACUUUUCCCAUUUCAUUAAAAUUUCUUUUGGUUUCCAGAAAUGCUUAUUCUUGCCAUUUAGCUCUUCUAGUGGUCUGGCCAGUAUACAAAGGGAUUAUCUGCUUAUGUAAGAAAGCAAAUGCUUAUGUUGAAGGAACAAAAGAACAUUAAUAUAUUUUAUGUUUCUUUGUAAUUAAUGGAGUUCUGCUUGCUGAAAAAUAAAGAGGGAGAAAGGAAUCAUUUAAUUUACGAGAACUAUGUAAUACCAAUCAGGAUAGGACUUCGCUAACUCCUGUUUGGUAGGAGGGUAAAUAGACAAUUCAGCAAAUUGGUGGGGGUUUAAAAACACAAGGGAUAGAACAUUUAACAUAUUCUAACUUACUGGGUGAGUUGAGCGCAAGAUUCGGAGAGGCAACAUAAGGUACAAAUGUUUGUGUCUAAGUAGCACCUGCUUUUGCAAGCCCCAGCUACUUAGGACGUGAAUUAGGGAGCUGUGAAUGAAAACAGCAGGAGACUGGUUUGGAAAGUUGUACUAAUUUUUGGAUUCGAUCAAGUUUUAGGUGAAGUGGUGCCAAAGGAGUGUUCCACUGCUGGCAGGAUAGACAUUUCCCCCACUCUUUAGCCUAAUGAGUCCUGCUUUCCCAAACCUCCUGAAUCACCAUAAAAAGAUGUUUGCCUCAGGUUGAGUCUCCUUGGGUAAAAGUCACAGGAAUGAAAUAAUUAUUCAGAGAUGGACAGCCAAGAGAAUUUUUCAAGCAAGCCACCCUAACCCAGAAGCGUUUCUCUCAAAAAGUUUUAUUUGUAUUUACACAAUGUUAAAGUUUCCAAUAUACAUUUCCAUUAGCCUUUUAGAUGACACAACAACAUCAUUUCACAUUAGCCAUUAGGUUCCCGUCACAAUGGCACAAAAAUGCUGCCUGGUGGUCAAAAAUAAAAAGCUUAUUUAAAGAUGUCAAAAAAUUUUUUAGUCCUUGUAAACAUAUCAUUUAGAAUUUCUGAAAACCUCAUGCAAUCUUGACUUUGGAAUAAUGCCACAUGGUAGUUUUUACCAAGAGGGUUAUUGGCCCUCUCUGAAAUAAGGAGUUGAACAACACAGUCAAUAAACAUAUGCAUAUCUAAAUCACGAGCAUUUCCUACUUAGUAGUGGAUGUUCUGAAUAUGAAAUAUCACUGUAUUUAUAAUCCUGCUUUCCAUGACACUGCAGUGAGUUAGAAUAAUCAAGGGGCUUCCCUAAAAAUGUCUCAGGAGCAUUGUCGCAAAAUAUAAAAUAUUUCAAGCUUUAUCCAGUGAGUAUCUUAAAAAGAUGUAGGAAACAGAUUAACAUGAGUUGAUUAGCUUAAAAAAAGAAAAAGAUACACUGCAAUUCAAUGUAUUUGGGGGAAUAUCAAGUAGAAAAAUACGUUAUCUAGUAAAACUGGGGUGGCUGGUUGCCACUCUGAGGUAAGGCUUGCAAAUGAUGUAUUUCUGUUACGCAAAUUGGUAAAUAAUAUACAUAACAGGAGAACAGGAAAGUUAACAAUUGAGGGGUGCAGAAAAGGUAUUUCUCUGUACAUCUAUUUUAUGCGGUCUUGAGGAACAGUGAAGAAUUGCCCGUCCCUCUUAGAUAGUGCUAAACCUUCUAUUUAUUUCUUGGCAGAAAUGAAAUUUGGCGUGCUAUAGACCAUCUUAGAAGUGUUUUCUCAGAAUCCACAUUGGAGCGUUCCAAUUCUGCAGUGCAAUCCCAGCCUGGACAGUAAACACCCCGCAGAACCUAGAGUCACAAGGCUUUAAUAAGGCAAAUGGAGGUGAAUGGGGGAAAAGAGUGGAACUUGGAACGGAGAAUUUCCUGUUUCCAUAAAGUUAAAGCAGUAGUAACCAAUCAGCAUGGAAAGUUCAUUUCUGCCACAACUGGUGGAUUCUCAGAGUGGUAUUAAGAUUCAGUCUGUUUGGUCACAAGCAUUGGGGAAGAAAUCUCCAUGAUCACUUUGCCCGGACCCAAACCUGGGCUCAGCUGUAAGUUUGACUUUAUUUUCUGUCCGUUUAGGGGGUGGACACCUACGUCUCAAUGGAACUUAAAUAACUUGGCUGAGGGUGUGGGCGGCUCCUGUUUCCCAAGGUGUUACCUGGAAUCCUGAAGUACUGCCCAUGAUGAAAUCCUAUUUUUCAGUUGCUACAUUUACCAGUGUAGGCCACUUACAGGCUCUCUGCCAUGACAAGAACAAUAGGGCAGUACGGAAGAGUUAGAGAAUGGGGCACUGACCCUUAAGGGCCUCACACCUUAUUUAGGGAAGGGGAGCAUCUUAUUUGUAAAACUACCAGGAGACACACGAAUUCGACUUUUUAUUAAUAGUCAAUAGUCAAUAUUACUAUUGACUUAGUGGCCACGAGAAUUGCGGGGGUGCUAGCAAGAGAGUGACUGGAAUGAGGGAAGGUCACUCAUGGAUGGCUUUUUGGAUGAUAUUGGCUUGAUUCUUAAUCCAUCAUGGGGGAGGGGCUAGGAGAGAGGAAGGUCUGGGCAAUGGAAAUAAAUGUCAAAUGUCGAACAUAGCAAGGAGAACAUUUUGGGAGGAGUGACUGUCGUUUCAGUAGAAGGGUGGGAAAGACUGGAUUAGGAUUAGUUUGCUUGAGGGGCAGGGGAAUAAUGAGAGAGAAAACGAGCAGGAGUGAUGGAGAGACUGAGGUCGGAUUUAAGUGGUUCCAGGGAGCCAACGCAUAUCUUUCCUCCAUGGGGUUAGAAUCAAUUUACUAAGAUUUCCCGCACCUCUCAGGAAUGGCGGUUAUGAGACCCAUAAUUAGUGUGAUGGAUAACUGUGAUCCAGAUGGGCAAAUCUGAGGGUGAAUUGUGGUUCUAUUGGUAAUUACAUAUUGGCUCUCUCAGGGAAACUGGGGCAUGUGGUCCCCUAACAGUAAUGUUAUCCCAAAAGAACUGGGCCACACCUCAGGUUAUGCAGCUGUCAUGAGAACUAUUCCUUCUCUUCAAGAGGAUAGUGAAAGGCUUCUGUCUGUUGGGGGAGGGGGGCUGGGGAGAGGAGCAGGAUAAAAAAGGACUGAAAGUGUUUCCUGGGCCUGUAUCUAGACGUUUGGAAUGGAAAUUGCUCUUUCUUCCUACUCUCUUCCUAUCUUUGAACCACCCGAGACCUGGAUGGUCAAGGUAAAAUGGAUUAGAGACAGGCAGUGUGAUAGAGCAGACAGAGCUUUGCCAUUGCAUCCAGAAACAAAAAGGAAACAAAACACCAAAAAAACCAAACUCAGAUCGAAUACUAACUCUAUUACUAACUGGUGAUCAGAUCUUGGGGAAAUC
rnacentral:lncRNA from 1 species